rnacentral:RNase_P_RNA from 1 species
CGAGCAGGCUGAGCAGCUGCGGACACAGUCCGAAAGGACGUGCCCGAGGAAAGUCCGAGCUCCACAGGGCAGAAUAACGGCUAACGGCCGCCGGGGGCGACCCCAGGGAAAGUGCAACAGAGAUAUACCGCCGGUAAACGGUAAGGGUGGAAAGGCGAGGUAAGAGCUCACCAGCGCGCGGGAGACCGCGCGGCUCUGCAAACCCUAUUCGGAGCAACACCGCAGAGGGACUUCAUGCGCCGGCCCGGCGCGUCCCGAGAAGGUGGCACUGAGCCGCGAUGGCAACAUCCGGCCAAGAUAGAUGGCUGUUCACGACAGAACUCGGCUUACAGGCCUGGUCGCAUC